rnacentral:rRNA from 1 species
UGAGGAAUUUUGCGCAAUGGGAGCAAUCCUGACGCAGCAACGCCGCGUGAGUGAUGAAGGCCUUCGGGUCGUAAAGCUCUGUCAGGUGGGAAGAACAUCCAUGGCAAGAAUACAGUCAUGGAGUGACGGUACCACCAGAGGAAGCACCGGCUAACUCCGUGCCAGCAGCCGCGGUAAUACGGAGGGUGCGAGCGUUAUUCGGAAUUACUGGGCGUAAAGCGCGUGCAGGCGGGAAGACAAGUCUGAUGUGAAAGCCCCGGGCUUAACCUGGGAAGUGCAUUGGAAACUGUUUUUCUUGAGUACUGGAGAGGAAGGGGGAAUUCCCGGUGUAGAGGUGAAAUUCGUAGAGAUCGGGAGGAAUAUCAGUGGCGAAGGCGCCCUUCUGGACGGAUACUGACGCUGAGACGCGAAAGCGUGGGGAGCAAACA